rnacentral:rRNA from 1 species
AUGAACGCUAGCGGCAGGCUUAAUACAUGCAAGUCGAGGGGCAGCGGGUGUAGCAAUACAUGCCGGCGACCGGCGCACGGGUGCGUAACGCGUAUGCAACCUACCUUUAACUGGAGAAUAGCCCCGAGAAAUCGGGAUUAAUACUCCAUAACAUUGCGAAUUGACAUCUUUUUGCAAUUAAAGCUCAGGCGGUUAAAGAUGGGCAUGCGUGACAUUAGUUUGUUGGUGAGGUAACGGCUCACCAAGACUACGAUGUCUAGGGGUUCUGAGAGGAUUAUCCCCCACACUGGUACUGAGACACGGACCAGACUCCUACGGGAGGCAGCAGUAAGGAAUAUUGGGCAAUGGACGCAAGUCUGACCCAGCCAUGCCGCGUGAAGGAUGACGGCCCUAUGGGUUGUAAACUUCUUUUGUACGGGAAAAAACCCCCCGACGUGUCGGGGGCUGAUGGUACCGUAAGAAUAAGCAUCGGCUAACUCCGU